GACGAACGCUGGCGGCGUGCCUAAUACAUGCAAGUCGAACGCAGUGGGGACGGGUGAGUAACACGUGGGUAACCUCCCAUCAGAGGGGAUAACACUUGGAAACAGGUGCUAACCCGAUACCGAUGUAUGGACCCGCGGGGCAGUCGCUAGUUGGUGAGGUAACGGCUCACCAGGGCCACGAGGCAUAGCCGACCGGAGAGGGUGAUCGGCCAAACGGGGACUGAGACACGGCCCAGACUCCUACGGGAGGCAGGAGGAGGGAAUCUUCGGCAAGGGCCGAAAGGCUGACCGAGCAAUGCCGCGUGAGUGAAGAAGGUUUUCAGAUCGUAAAACUCUGUUGUUAGAGAAGCGGUAUCUAACCAGAAAGCCACGGCUAACUACGUGCCAGCAGCCGCGGUAAUAC
rnacentral:rRNA from 1 species